rnacentral:ncRNA from 2 species
AAAAAAAAAAAAAAAAAAAAAAAAAAAAAAAAAAAAAAAAAA